AGCGUACACGGUGGAUGCCCUGGCAGUCAGAGGCGAUGAAGGACGUGCUAAUCUGCGAUAAGCGUCGGUAAGGUGAUAUGAACCGUUAUAACCGGCGAUUUCCGAAUGGGGAAACCCAGUGUGAUUCGUCACACUAUCAUUAACUGAAUCCAUAGGUUAAUGAGGCGAACCGGGGGAACUGAAACAUCUAAGUACCCCGAGGAAAAGAAAUCAACCGAGAUUCCCCCAGUAGCGGCGAGCGAACGGGGAGCAGCCCAGAGCCUGAAUCAGUGUGUGUGUUAGUGGAAGCGUCUGGAAAGGCGUGCGAUACAGGGUGACAGCCCCGUACACAAAAAUGCACAUGCUGUGAGCUCGAUGAGUAGGGCGGGACACGUGGUAUCCUGUCUGAAUAUGGGGGGACCAUCCUCCAAGGCUAAAUACUCCUGACUGACCGAUAGUGAACCAGUACCGUGAGGGAAAGGCGAAAAGAACCCCGGCGAGGGGAGUGAAAAAGAACCUGAAACCGUGUACGUACAAGCAGUGGGAGCACAGAGCAAUCUGUGUGACUGCGUACCUUUUGUAUAAUGGGUCAGCGACUUAUAUUCUGUAGCAAGGUUAACCGAAUAGGGGAGCCGAAGGGAAACCGAGUCUUAACUGGGCGUUAAGUUGCAGGGUAUAGACCCGAAACCCGGUGAUCUAGCCAUGGGCAGGUUGAAGGUUGGGUAACACUAACUGGAGGACCGAACCGACUAAUGUUGAAAAAUUAGCGGAUGACUUGUGGCUGGGGGUGAAAGGCCAAUCAAACCGGGAGAUAGCUGGUUCUCCCCGAAAGCUAUUUAGGUAGCGCCUCGUGAAUUCAUCUCCGGGGGUAGAGCACUGUUUCGGCAAGGGGGUCAUCCCGACUUACCAACCCGAUGCAAACUGCGAAUACCGGAGAAUGUUAUCACGGGAGACACACGGCGGGUGCUAACGUCCGUCGUGAAGAGGGAAACAACCCAGACCGCCAGCUAAGGUCCCAAAGUCAUGGUUAAGUGGGAAACGAUGUGGGAAGGCCCAGACAGCCAGGAUGUUGGCUUAGAAGCAGCCAUCAUUUAAAGAAAGCGUAAUAGCUCACUGGUCGAGUCGGCCUGCGCGGAAGAUGUAACGGGGCUAAACCAUGCACCGAAGCUGCGGCAGCGACGCUUAUGCGUUGUUGGGUAGGGGAGCGUUCUGUAAGCCUGCGAAGGUGUGCUGUGAGGCAUGCUGGAGGUAUCAGAAGUGCGAAUGCUGACAUAAGUAACGAUAAAGCGGGUGAAAAGCCCGCUCGCCGGAAGACCAAGGGUUCCUGUCCAACGUUAAUCGGGGCAGGGUGAGUCGACCCCUAAGGCGAGGCCGAAAGGCGUAGUCGAUGGGAAACAGGUUAAUAUUCCUGUACUUGGUGUUACUGCGAAGGGGGGACGGAGAAGGCUAUGUUGGCCGGGCGACGGUUGUCCCGGUUUAAGCGUGUAGGCUGGUUUUCCAGGCAAAUCCGGAAAAUCAAGGCUGAGGCGUGAUGACGAGGCACUACGGUGCUGAAGCAACAAAUGCCCUGCUUCCAGGAAAAGCCUCUAAGCAUCAGGUAACAUCAAAUCGUACCCCAAACCGACACAGGUGGUCAGGUAGAGAAUACCAAGGCGCUUGAGAGAACUCGGGUGAAGGAACUAGGCAAAAUGGUGCCGUAACUUCGGGAGAAGGCACGCUGAUAUGUAGGUGAAGUCCCUCGCGGAUGGAGCUGAAAUCAGUCGAAGAUACCAGCUGGCUGCAACUGUUUAUUAAAAACACAGCACUGUGCAAACACGAAAGUGGACGUAUACGGUGUGACGCCUGCCCGGUGCCGGAAGGUUAAUUGAUGGGGUCAGCGCAAGCGAAGCUCUUGAUCGAAGCCCCGGUAAACGGCGGCCGUAACUAUAACGGUCCUAAGGUAGCGAAAUUCCUUGUCGGGUAAGUUCCGACCUGCACGAAUGGCGUAAUGAUGGCCAGGCUGUCUCCACCCGAGACUCAGUGAAAUUGAACUCGCUGUGAAGAUGCAGUGUACCCGCGGCAAGACGGAAAGACCCCGUGAACCUUUACUAUAGCUUGACACUGAACAUUGAGCCUUGAUGUGUAGGAUAGGUGGGAGGCUUUGAAGUGUGGACGCCAGUCUGCAUGGAGCCGACCUUGAAAUACCACCCUUUAAUGUUUGAUGUUCUAACGUUGACCCGUGAUCCGGGUUGCGGACAGUGUCUGGUGGGUAGUUUGACUGGGGCGGUCUCCUCCUAAAGAGUAACGGAGGAGCACGAAGGUUGGCUAAUCCUGGUCGGACAUCAGGAGGUUAGUGCAAUGGCAUAAGCCAGCUUGACUGCGAGCGUGACGGCGCGAGCAGGUGCGAAAGCAGGUCAUAGUGAUCCGGUGGUUCUGAAUGGAAGGGCCAUCGCUCAACGGAUAAAAGGUACUCCGGGGAUAACAGGCUGAUACCGCCCAAGAGUUCAUAUCGACGGCGGUGUUUGGCACCUCGAUGUCGGCUCAUCACAUCCUGGGGCUGAAGUAGGUCCCAAGGGUAUGGCUGUUCGCCAUUUAAAGUGGUACGCGAGCUGGGUUUAGAACGUCGUGAGACAGUUCGGUCCCUAUCUGCCGUGGGCGCUGGAGAACUGAGGGGGGCUGCUCCUAGUACGAGAGGACCGGAGUGGACGCAUCACUGGUGUUCGGGUUGUCAUGCCAAUGGCACUGCCCGGUAGCUAAAUGCGGAAGAGAUAAGUGCUGAAAGCAUCUAAGCACGAAACUUGCCCCGAGAUGAGUUCUCCCUGACUCCUUGA
rnacentral:rRNA from 1 species